rnacentral:lncRNA from 1 species
AUGAGCACAAAUAAACAACCAGAAUUUAGCAACGGCACCAGACUGUACAUCACCGAAGAAACUCCGCAAACCGAGUGCCAGAAUAAUACAGUAGUGCAGUUCAUCCAGCAGAAUCAGACAUCAUGGCUGACUCUCGCCCUCAUGUCGGGUCUGUGGAUUGUUGUUUUGGUCGUUGUGAUCAUAGGAUACAUGAAGGUUUAUGGCUGUAGAAAUAGGCUGGCAGAACAAAACACUGGUCUACAGAUAACACAAGUUACCCAACAUGAUCCAGAGCAAAGCCAAUUACAGGAUGUUGAGGUGGACACUUCCAUGCUGAGUAAUAAUCCUCCUGCCCCUGUAAACAGCACCUAUGUUAAAUUAGAGCUGCCAAAACCACAAACACACGCGUAAAACUGACCUACAUGGCAUUCUUGCAGAAACUUGUGAAACUGUGGUUGUCAAAGCAUUCAUGUAGCUGAUCGUUGUGUGUUCAGGCACAUCUGUCUGCACCUCAACCCAGUGAAGUUGUGUUUUGCCAGUGCUAGAUCUAGAUUUGUUUUAGUUUUUAACCAAAUGAUGACCUGCUAUUGUUGACUUUAUGAAUUUAUUUUUGUCAAAAGAAUAUGUUAAUAUCAUUAAAGUUUUUUUAAACAAUUGAUCAUGACAUAAUCCUAUUUCUGUGUUAGAAUUCUGCAAGGUGCAAAAAAAAAACAGGUCUGAUUAUUUACAGGAAGGGGCCUGUAGAGCUGGUUACAGCCACACAAAUGUCUAGAUCUAUAUAAAAAUAGUAACACUAGCUAUAGUGCAUCCAGAAAGUAUUGAUAGCGCUUCACUUUGUCCACAUUUUUUUGUUACAGCCUUAUUCCAAAAAGGGUUUUAUAAUGUAUUUCCUUAACAUUCCACACACAAUACCCCAUAAUGACAAUGUGAAAAAAAGAUUUUUUGAAACUGUUGGAAAUUUAUUAAAAAUAUUUUUUUAAAAACUGAAAAUUCACAUGUUUACAAGAACUUUGCCGUGAAGAUCUAAAUGGGGUAUAUGCCGAAGCAUGCUAAAAGGACUUUUAAUUUGCCAUUAACCUGGGUUAAGCGCUUCCGGCGAAUUGAAUGCCAAUGCAAAAUCUGGUGCGUUUAAGGUCUGUUUUCUUUAAAAAAUCAGCGAUCUCCACUAGCUGAGUGAGAAGCACUGCAUUAAAUUACAUUUCCCCCGCCAUAUCUUUAUAAUAUGAGCAUUUAUUACCCCAGUAUAUUCAAUGGAGCUUCUGCGCUAGCCUGUCGAUUCUGACAGGCACGUGCGAGUAAACAGCUUUUUGUCUCGUUUUACGCUUGAGCAACCAAAUAAAUGCUAAA